rnacentral:lncRNA from 1 species
AUAUAAAAGAGUGUGUAGAUCCUGGGUCUACAUCUUAGCCAAGGUACUAGAGAUAGUGAGCAUACCUUGGAUCACAUCCUAAGAGGCUUCAACAUCUCUCUCUAUGAGGGCAUAUACUCUUUCUUGAAUUUUUAGCCUAGUUUGCUCUUUGUUGAUAAGACACUCUUUGAUCUGAUGUUGAGUAUUACCACAUCUGAAGCAUCCAUUUGUCAGCUUGUACUAGGGUCUGCUACCAUGGUUUUUCCCAUAAUGGGGGUAUAUCUGCUUUCGCCCUUGUGUUGAGCCUAUGACACCUAUCUUUUGCCUUUUCGUAGGUUGUUAUGGCUUCUGAGCCUUCCUCUUAUUGUUUAGUAUGAAUGGUCGAACCUGUUGGAUCUGUUGUGGGAUUGGGCUUGUAGGCUCUUCUGCAAUCUGGGCCCAUUCCAAUGCUUUUUGGUAGUCAUUAAUUUUCAAAAUUAAGAUUUUAU